rnacentral:rRNA from 1 species
GAAUUGACGGGGACCCGCACAAGCAGCGAGCGUGUGGUUUAAUUCGUUGCUACACGAAGAACCUUACCUGGGUUUGACAUAUAGGUUGUAGGGAACUGAAAGGGACCGACCCUUCGGGAGCCUAUACAGGUGUUGCAUGGCUGUCGUCAGCUCGUGUCGUGAGAUGUUCGGUUAAGUCCGCUAACGAGCGCAACCCUCGUCGUAUGUUAUAUGUGUCAUACGAGACUGCCGGUAAAAGCCGGAGGAAGGUGAGGAUGAUGUCAAGUCAGCAUGACCUUUAUAUCCAGGGCUACACACACGCUACAAUGGUCUGUACAAUGGGUAGCCAAGCCGCGAGGCGGAGCCAAUCCUGAAAGCAGGCCUCAGUUCAGAUUGCAGUCUGCAACUCGACUGCAUGAAGCCGGAGUUGCUAGUAACCGCAGGUCAGCAAUACUGCGGUGAAUACGUUCCCGGGCCUU